GUGAGAUUUAUAAGGGAAAAAAAUCAUUUUCAGAAUUUAAGAAUCAGAAUCUAAGACAUGAGACAAAAUAGUGUAGAAGCUGACAUUGCUGCUUGAAAAUAUGUCAACCUCUUGAGCAUUAAAGAACUUUUUUACCAUCAUUUUCUUAUCAUAAUUUCUGCAUAUUAAUAUUCAUAUAAAAUAGAGGAAGCACUAAAGUACAGUAGAGAGAGCUGUGUCUCAUUCGUCAAGUUUGCUAAUACAAUCUGCUGCUGGUUUGGAGUCACUGGGUUACAUGACAUGGAAGAUACUGCAAUUAUUUUAUAUUAAUAUAUUUAUGCAAAGUAAUUUAAUGACGGUCCCUAAAUCGGUCUCCAGUGAUUCAGCGAGUAAUGAUGAUACUAAUAGAUUUCAAGAUAACUUUGGGUGUAGUGCUUCACUGUGUGCAACUUAAAUUUGCCAUUUGCCCGCGAUAUUGAACCUACAAUAAUCAUGUUGUCGCGGUUGCGACGGUUGGGCUGCGGAGCAGUGCAGGUACAGAGGAGAAGUAGCGCGUGAGAAAAGGAUGAUACCAUUUGCUAAGCGGGGGUGUUUUCAUUUUCGUCCUUCACAUAUACAUUUUAAACCACCAACUACAGAGUAUGCUUUGGACAUAAUUUAACCUUGUCAAAGACGAACACAAAUUUUAGAAUAACAUCAUUUCUUACUCCAAGUUUUAGGGGUGCUGGAGCACCCCUAAAAAUGGGCUAGCCUCGCCCAUGCUUGAUUGUGAAUGAGACAGUUGUUAAUUGUCUGCAGACUGGGCCAGGUGUAGUUUAAACAGUACUGAUCACACACAGCAGCAGUUUUUGACUGUUUCUGGUUCGGGCAUAAAGGUCAAAGGUCUCCAGGACGCUGUCAGCUUUGCCAUGGGUGCAUCUGGAGAACACGAAGGCGUGAGUGCUCCUCACACACGCUGUUCCUCGCACCAGCCUCAGUGCCCAGGUCAGAGCUCGAUGGCACAGCGCGGCAACUCUGACACGACAGCGGCUGGAUACCAUCACGAUGGCAGGAAGCAGCGGGACAGAAAAAACCAUGAGCCACAUUUCAAAAUCUGUGAAGAAGACAGGAAGCCUCAGAAAUCUGUGGAUGACAGGAAAGAAGAAAUGAACAGUUUGUGACUGAGAGGGUGUUCCACUUUUCAGUUCUGUUUCUUAUCAAAUCCCAAAUCUGACACUUGCUGUAGGCUGAAUCACUGAUUAAAUGUAUGUGUUGAAAAAAACCCUCUAUGUUUGAAUGCAAUACUGACCUCUGGCACCCCCACUGAUACAGUACUCCUGAUUUCCUUCUUCUCAAUAAACAUUUUAAAGUAAA